rnacentral:misc_RNA from 1 species
GGAGGAGGAGGAGGAGGAGAUUUGACCUUGGCCUUCCUGCUCCUCGGCUUCUUAAUCUAGGUCUGUCUUUUUUACUUUUUCCUUCAUUCUUUCUUGCUCUCUUCUCUUUUCCCGGAGGAUAGAAGAAGAUCUAACCUGGGCCUUCUUGCUCCUCAGCUUUUCAAUCCAAGUCUCUCUUUUUUACCUUUUCAUUCACUAUUACCAUGACUAAAGAUGAGCACCAUGCCUCGGCUUCACAGCCACCCCAUGAUUCCUCAUUACAUGACCAAUCUGAAUUUGUUGAAUUAGAAAGACAAGUUGAACAACUUAUUGCACAAAUGAAAGCUACGUGCAAACAAAUUGCAAUGUAAGAAGAGUUUGUUAAUUAACACCUAGGGUCACCUCAUUCUGUUGAGUUUGCAUUUACUAAAAUUUAUACACUAGACACACAACAUGCAUCUCAUAGGGGUUGUAAUGUAGCAUCAAAGCAAGUGACAUUUAGCCUUGUUGGUAAUCUUCCUUUGCACUCUAGAGAUAGGACACAUAUUGGGUAUGAUGAGCAUGUUCUUGAUGAAACAUCUGCAAACAAAUAGUCAAACUGAAGUUGUGAAUUGUAGCUUGGGUGAAUUGUAGCUUGGGUGAUUUACUUGGGUGUGAUGUGGGAGAGAAGCAAGGUAAUUUGGUUCUUCUUUUCUAGAGUUUGCCUAUAACGAUUUAGCAAAUCGUUCCACAGGUGAAAGCUCUUUUGAGAUUAUUCAUGGCUAUUUUCCCUGCACCCAAGUUGACCUUAUUCCUUUUCCACCUGAUAUUCGUGUUUCACAACUUUCUGA